AACACAGGUCCAAACCGCGACUCAGAGGAUAAAACUCCACAACAAACACGAUCCUUAAACACCUCGGUUCUGAUAAAAACACCGGGUCCAAAAUGCCUCUGGCAGCAGGAAAUACAAGGAGGUUCCGAACAUCAACAGAACCGGAACAGAACAGUUUGAAGGGGAUAGUUCAGAAAGAAUAAAACGAGAAACUAGACUGACCUUUGACCUCAAAGGAUUCAAGAGGGAGAGAAUGAAGCUGACCUGAGAUUAUAUUAAAAUAAACCAGAUUAAUCAGAUAAAAAAAAAAAAUCCUUUUGCAGAUUUUUCAUUUAACAACAAACUUAUUUUACACAGUAUCAGCAGUUGGGCUCCAGAAUGUUUUUCCUGCAGGUUCUAAAGGGGAGCGAAGCAUUUUACUGAGGAUGCUAUGAUGGAUCUUUUACCCUAUAAUUAAAAACACACACACAUUAGCAUUGCUGUUUUAAUCAGACUGAUUUGAGUUUAUGUGACGCUUAGACAUCGGCACGGAUCUUUGAGUCAUUAGCCAGAUUACUUCCAGAUAAUAUAUUACAUUAUUUAGGUUAAAACAGCAUUUAUGAUAAAGUCAAUCAAAUAAACUGACAGAUUAAAUCCCAACCAGAGGAGCUGUUCUACUUCAUUUAGAACAACGUUGGAUGAAUAUCAGGAUUUAUUCACUCAUUCAUCUUUCUGCUCAUUUUUACAUCAGCUUCAAACAGAAACUGCUGCUUCCUCAGGAUUUAUUCAGCAGGGAAAGAAGCAGAGAGCAGCCAACUAUCAAACAUGGUGGUGGAGGGGUGAUGAUGAGGGCUUGUUUUGCAGCUACAGAACCUAGACUCCAGAUUUAACAUCUUGAAAUUGGGCCUCUGUUUCUUUAAGAACUUCUGCUCUUUCUGAAGCUCCGCCUCCAGGACGUCGUCCCAACAUGGCUCCUCUAUUAACCCUUUAAAGGUUUUAUCAGCGUUGCUCUGAGCAGCAGCUCCUCCAAUGGGCUCAGCAGUUCCACCAAAUGUUUGCUAAUUGCUACUGGCUAGUCUUAAGGAGCUGAGAAGGGGAGGAGCUUCAUCUUCGAAGGCGGGGCUACAUCCACCCAGGCGUUUUGCACAGCUGAAUGGUUGCCAUAGAGAUUAAAGGAUUUCUCAAACAGCCAGUAAAGAAUCAAGGCAACACUCCUUGUUUGUUUACGAUGAGAGAAUAACUUUAACACAUGAUGAAAAGC